GAUUCCAUCACCGCCUGCACACAACUAUAGCAUCAACUACAGGCACUGCAAUAUACUGAAAAGUCAAAGAUGUCAAGAGAGUAAAUUAAGGAAUGCAUUAUAGCUGUUAAAGCAAUCUUAAGGGAAAUCUGAGGCUUCCACUGCAGCACCGUGCUUAGUGUUCUGGUAUACAACUACAAGCUUUUGCAAGAAAGAGGAGAGAACACAGCCGUUGCUUCUUUACUGCUUGCUGCUACGGCUGCAGUUGCUGACUUCCUACAAAACUCUGUUUCUCGCAAAUGAUGGUUGCGUAUGUAAAUACAGGACCUGCAGUAAUCAACUUCAGAACUACAGUUCAAUAAAAUCACUUACGAACAGCCCCAUUACAAGUGAUGCCGCCUGAUGUGCAAUUGACCCCGUGGUCUAUUGGAGGGUUGCACCUCUCCUGCCGCUCAUACAAAACUCCUUUUUUUCAGCGUACUACUGCAGUUCACUGUUCUAUUUUGUAAGUGUUUUAUAUUGUUCUGCUGGAAUUAACAGAGGGACCACUUUCAGAUCUUCAGGUGAAAUGUAUUGUAGAAAUGCAAAUAAACUACUAGCUUAUUAUUUGAUGCAGAGGCUGAUGUAUAGCUCUACCUAGCCAUUACAUUCACUUUCCAUGCCUAUCAGUAUGUACCCAGAGAUUGAUAGAUGAUGGUUUUAUAAUUCUUAAAUACUUUUUUGAUAUCUUAAACCUAUAGAGCCUUCAGACAUUUUGUUCAGGAGAUUUGGAAUACUUUGCUACUUGAAAUAAAAAAAGGUUCAAUUGGCAGGGUUUUAAAUCCAAACAUUUAAGGCAUUGAUUUUACUUAGUUUUUCUAAAGUAACGCCUUUAGGAAAUUGAGUGCUACAUUGCUAAUUUUAACUUUAUUCAUUUUAAAGUGCUCUAGGAUACUAGCACAAAGGGCACUGUAAAAAUUGCAUUGUGCUGUAUUAGGUUUGAAUAGGAUGAGUUAUAGAACUGUUUGAGACUUUGAAUUUCCAGAAUUUAGUUAUUACAAUGCUUAUGAUACUAAAGGUUUCUUAUGUAUGCAUUUUAUGUUUGGGGUUUUUUUCUUAAUAGUCAUAAUUCCUAAGAAAUAUCUACUAUACACAGUCUGUCAAAAAAGCUUUAUAAUAUUUUCUAUUGCAAUACAGCUGUACAAAAAGAUUUUAUAGAAGUUAUUCACACCUACAUAAAUAUAAUUUAAAAUGCAAAUGUUCAUUGCCUAAAUUACAGUGGAAAUUCAUUUUUCAUGCAAUGAAUCUUGAAAAUAUUUCCAGUGUUGAUUAACCUGCAAUGGGAUUUUUCCUUUGCAAUAUCAUAAAUAUGCUCACCUUGUAUGAAUCUGAGUACAGCAUACAAAACUCUGUCUGAAUAUUACGUAGUGAGAGUGAUUGUGUAUUCAGAGUAACCAAUGAAAAAUGAAAUAAUUUGUACGUAUUUUGAAUCUUAGUACAUUUUUUAGUAUAAAAGAUUCAUAGGUUUACGGCCUGCUACAGCACAAUUAAAUAUACAAUAAAAAUACAACAAAGAUUGUACUCAUUUUCCUUUGAUGAUUAUAAAAAUUUAUUCAGGACUAUAUAACUGCUUUCAGUAGAAACUGGUCCAUAAUACUUUAACUUUUAAAACAAUAAUAUAGUUUCAUAGGUGCAUUUUUCCCAUCAAUAUUCCUAAAAAAAAAAGUGGCAUAGUGUGAAAAUGUGAAAGAUAUUGCAAAGAUUCUGAUUUUACCUCUCUGUUUUCCAGGGAUUUGUCUCAGUCUCAUGUACAAUCUAGCAUUCAUGGCAAGUGAUAAAUAUCUAGCACAAGCAGGCAUAGAAUUACUUUAAAAGCAACAAGCAAAAUUUGAAAAAUACUAUGAGUUGAGAGGAAAAAUAAUCAAAAGUAUUCAAAAAGGUAAACAUUGGCUUUGGAAGAAUAAAUGGAACAUUCCUUAAUUGCUUUUUCAAGACCAGUGGAAAAUUUUCCUCACACACACUGUGGGAUUUUUUUUCUUCCCCUGCUUCUCAACAAGGGAUAAUUUGUGAAGGGAUAACUUAGUGUAGAAAAAACAGGGUGGGUGAACUUUAAGCAACAUUUUAAUAGAUAUACCGCCAAACUUCAGCAGGUCAUUGGGGAGACAGAUCGAUGGAAUGUAUGUUAUCACUAACAUCAAAAAGAAUAGAUCUAUCACAGAAAAAAAAGCAAACUAUUUAAAAAUUUAAAGCAUUAUCUAUAGCAUUUUUAUUCAAAGGAUUUUUGAACAAUUGUGUUUGCUUGCACACUUCUUUGACGAUAGAAAGUUCCCACAAACCCUACCCUCAUGGUCAAAGUACUACAUGGGCUUUUUAGAUUCCGUGUGUAACUAGAUUUGUUAUGUAUUCAGUUCUGGUUAAAAUAUAUAUGCAUUAGUGAUCAUAAGCUAUCUUAGCUUUAAAGGAAGAGGGCAAUAGUGCAGUCACCCCAAAGGAGAAAAAUGAUAGCAAAGUCAGGCAAUGAAACACAUUUUUAUUUUUGUGUUCUUUUAUAUUAAAAUACAUGUUUAUCACAAUAAAACAUGAACUACACAGCAUUUAUCUUAUGUUAUCUGCCCAAGCCAUAUCCAAAAGAAAUUGAAACACAUGGCUAUCUUCUCAUUGGUCUCUGUAUUUCUUGGAGCAAGUCUUUUGUAUAUUUCCAGUGUGUCCUUUGUUCUUAUACUAUAGAUCCACCUUUUUCCUUCCUCACUGGUGUCACUCCUCACUGAGACCAAGGAAAUUUUAUCAUCACCCACUUGUUCAGUACCAAAGUAUGGCAGACACUUUAUUCAUGAACAAAAAGUGUGGUGUUUGUGCUAAAGAGACCCAUUGACUUAAAUAGCACAGGGCCUCUAGAGACCUCCAGCCUGCAACGUGCUUCUGGCAAAACACAGCCUGAUGUGCCAGGAAGAAUGUAGAUGAGAGCAGUCAGUAGCAGGGAGGCACCAAGAACCAGAAGCAUCACCCAAAGUCGUGAGCGUGUAUGUAACGUUCAUACCCUGCUGUUCUUCUGAGGUGGUAAGACACGGAGACCAGACUUUCUGACAGAAAUAAUAACUGCAAAUUUGUUACAAUUCUGUGAUAACCAGGAGGGGUAAUUAAGAUCUGUGAUGUGUUCUACAGCUUUAACUGUAAAAUAGUCUGAUUAAUUUAAAUUAACUUACUCUAAUAAACUACUUACUUUUCCAGUAGUGAAAUCUGCAGUGUGUUAGAAAAGAAGAAAACUCUUUCACACUUAUAAACUGUACAAUGGCUGCUCUUUUUAGUUAGAAAAUAGAAAUAUACUGGCAAGUGGGGAACGUUUCUCAUCCCUGGGGAAAAUAAUUGUCACCAAAAUAUUCUGUUUUUUCCAAAGAAAAGCCAAAAUUUUGUCUAGCAGAAAAUAAACUUACUUAAACAAUGCUUUGCUUUCUGCGUCAAAAGUGUUUUGAGUAGAGAUAUUCAGUUUUAUUUAUGAGUUGCUUUUCUUGAACAAAACAUUUGUACGAAACAAUAAAUGUUUAC